rnacentral:misc_RNA from 1 species
GAUUAUAUUGGUGUUAAAGUAGUGCAUUAAAUAGGAAAAAAGAGUCAAAGAGAGCCUAAGAAAAUAAAGAAAUGAAAGAAUUUUGUUGUUAAUUAUAUUCUCUAUCUACUAGGCAAAACAAGAAACCAGACUCACAGUGAAAUUAAAGGACAACGAUCAUGAAACCUUCGGUAAAUCCAAGGCGGCAGAGCUCCGACUUUUCAAUCUCAUAUAGCCUACAAGAUCAUCCGCCAGCAUCACGUGAGAAGGCACCAGAUCUACCUUUGAGAUGCUAGCCGAUUAGGGAGUAUUCUGGAACCCAUCCAGUAACAUAGCACCACCAGAAGCAAGGAAGACAAAUUAGGUUAAUGACAUUUGAUCUGAACAAAAGGACCAAUAUGCUGAACGAUCUCCAAAGCAAGCAACAAAAACCUCAAUCUAAAGAGGGGUACUAUACUUUAACAGAGGGAGACGUAACCAAAAGCAAGAAAACUAACAGAAAACCACCAAAAAAUAAGAUAAAACAAAACUAAAGAGAAAGAAGAGAGGGGAAGGUCGACGGCCGGAUGGCCAGACCCUCCCAAAAAGCUAAAGAAGGCUGAGAACGUUUGAGAGAAAACGUUUUAAUUUUACAAAUGGC